UACGGAGGGAGCUAGCGUUGUUCGGAAAUACUGGGCGUAAAGCGCACGUAGGCGGCUUUGUAAGUCGGGGGUGAAAGCCUGUGGCUCAACCACAGAAUUGCCUUCGAUACUGCAUGGCUUGAGACCGGAAGAGGUAAGUGGAACUGCGAGUGUAGAGGUGAAAUUCGUAGAUAUUCGCAAGAACACCAGUGGCGAAGGCGGCUUACUGGUCCGGUUCUGACGCUGAGGCGCGAAAGCGUGGGGAGCAAACAGG
rnacentral:rRNA from 1 species